AAGCCGAAAGGCGGCUUCCGCCUCCGCUGUAGCAGCGGUGCGGCCGGGCGCGGCAAGCUGAGAAUGAGUUGAGUGUCUGAUUGGUUCGCGGCCGGUGAGGGAGGCAGGACUCGAAAGUUUCUUUGCCCAAAUGGCGAGAUGGGAAGGUGCUCGGGGGUGAACCGAUCGCUGCGCAGAUAACAGAUUAGCCUGCCUGUAUGGAAUGGGGAAGGUAAUCGGCUUUGGUUGAAGGCAGGCUUGUGGCUGCCGCUGCUGCUUUGAAUCAGCAAGUGUAGAUUCAGAUGCCAGAGCAUACAUCGAUUAUUUCUGCUUGCAAGGCUGCUGAGCUGUGACUUUUGAAGCCGAUUUUAAAAUACACACAUUAAGGCUUCUGAAAGAAAGGUCGGGAAUGUAACCAGAGAAGCUCCUGAGGCCAUGCUCAGUGAGUGCUCUGGCAGCGGCAACCUCACUCCAUCGGUACCCUGGAAAAGUCCCAGUGCAAUGUGUUCUCAUUUGAGAGAGGAGAAGAAAGAAGAAAAACAAUCAAAACCAAACAAGCUGAAGAAAAUAUUAUUCCAAACAUUGCAAAAGUGUAUUAAUUAGAAACUUCAAUGCUACAUAGGUUUGCAGAGAAAACGUGUUUCUAAAUGUAUAGGUUUUCGUGGGGAUGUUGUGAGGCUGCU